AAGGGAUUGCGAGACCCAGGACGGGAUUAAACCUGAGGAUCAGCAAUUAGAAAGGGAGCGGGAGUUAGAUGUGGUGAGCAAGCCUCCAGCAGCGAGGAGGAAGCCUAAACAUCUACCAAAGCACCCACUUAAAAAGAGCUCAAGGUUUCCCGAAACUGGGAUCGCAAUCAAUAG
rnacentral:other from 6 species